rnacentral:rRNA from 1 species
GAUCUUGGUUCAGGAUGAACGCUGGCGGCGUGCUUAACACAUGCAAGUCGAACGGGCUUAAGAUGAAGCUUGCUUAGUCUAAGUUAGUGGCGGACGGGUGAGUAACGCGUGGGUAACCUACCCUGUGCAGGGGGAUAGCAGCUGGAAACGGCUGAUAAAACCGCAUAACACGGUAGCACCGCAUGGUGCAGCCGUCAAAUAUUUAUAGGCACAGGAUGGGCCCGCGUCUGAUUAGCUAGUUGGCGGGGCAACGGCCCACCAAGGCGACGAUCAGUAGCCGGCCUGAGAGGGUGAACGGCCACAUUGGGACUGAGACACGGCCCAAACUCCUACGGGAGGCAGCAGUGGGGAAUAUUGGACAAUGGGGGGAACCCUGAUCCAAGCGACGCCGCGUAAGUGAAGAAGUAUUUCGGUAUGUAAAGCUCUAUCAGCAGGGAAGAUGAUGACGGUACCUGACUAAGAAGCACCGGCUAAAUACGUGCCAGCCGCCGC